rnacentral:lncRNA from 1 species
CAAAACAUUAGCUAUUUAUUUAGCUCAGAAACAAAAUGAUAGAAAACAAAAAUAAUUCUAUUGAUCCACAAAACCUGAGACACUGCUUCGGAUUCGACGUUCUUGGACUCGACAACAACAUUCUCAGUGGUGGCAGAGGUUUCAAGGAUAUCAGACUCCUUAGGUUUGCUCGCACAGCCUCCCAUGGUGUUUAAAAAGAAAGAAUCGGUUUGAAACGAAUACAAAUUAAAGUGGGAAGAACUGUGGAGCCAACAAAUGAACUCCUUUUCUGUUCCUUUUCUUAAAAAGCCAAAACUAUUUAUUUUCUUAUUAGAGGGCUGAGCAAAUGUAGGACAAGACAUCAAAGAGAUAUAUAUAGUGGUUGUACGGACACCCGAGACCAAUGCUAUUUCAAGAAAAUGACUAAAUUUUUCAUGUCACCAAUAGAUUCUUUGAGGCUCUUCUCUGUCUACGACCUAUUCAACAGAAAAAAAACCUAUAGCUUUAUUCUACACCGUUCUUUUUUAGCCACUCUCUUCUCCAGCUCUAAAAACUUGUCACAAGCUCUCCUUGUGUCAUUGUACCAACCAAACUAACAAGAACAGGAAAAUAAGAGUUGUCUUGAUUAUUAAUGGUAAGCAAUGCAGUGAAGUUGUAAAAGAACAAAACAACCAACAUUAUAGGAUCAAAUCGGGUGCAAAAACCUCGUUUCAGAAAUUAGAGUUUAGAUCUGUUUUCUGGUUGCAGACUAGAAAUAAAGGUAAGAUAACUGUUUCUCAUAUCAUAAUCAAAAGUUGUUUCCUAGUUCUUCCUUCUACCACACGUCUUUCUAUUUCGCUUUAGAAGAGGAUACUACUGCUGAUGUUUCCUGGAUACCACCAUUGGGGACGAGGCUUUUGUACAUUGUCAAAGCUUGAGCGAUCAUGUUAGCAGGAUUUGCUGCAGAACUCGGAAGCAGCAUUGUUGUACCCUAAAAAGAAGACAAAAAAAAGUUUAUUACGCAAUUAGAUUCAUACCCAAGUGAGGACGAAAUUAGCGAGUAGAUAGAAUCUGGCACAGUAUGACGAGUUUCAUAAUAAUUGUUUACCUCCUUAGCGAUGUUGCCAAAAGCUUGAAUGUAUUGCUCUGCAAUUCUCAUACUCGCAGCCUGCAUUUUGAACCACGAUUAAGCUUGAGUUCCCAAUUUUGAAACUCAACAUUUGCAAUUCUGAUAAGCCACGGUAAUCUCAAUUUACUAUCUAGACAGAGAGAACCAUUUAUGAGAAAAACAGGUUAGAUGCCUCAAUGCAUUGGCUGGAGGUGUGAAACCAAACUAUAAGUAACAAUCUGUGCAAAUCGUGUUAAGACCUAAGUAAUCAGGUUAAUUCAUUAAUCUCAAAAUUGUGUAAAUCAUGUAAAGAAACUGCUGUUUAAUCUCAUGUACUAACCUCCACUCCACCAGUUUCAUUGAGGGAUUGAGACAACAUGGUCAGCCCCCUGGCUGUUGCUUGUGCUCUAGCUAUUAUUGCUUCUGCCUCACCUGGAACGCAUUACAAAAAAAAAAAACAUGUUGUGAUGAAACAAAUCGAAAAAUGGCUUGACAAUCUUAUUAUGAUGUGUUCAUGGCUUACUAAAUAGUUAAUACUAACCUGAUGCUCUGUUGACUUGGUUUAUCUUUGCAGCUUCUGAUUCCAAGAUUACAGAACUUUUCUUACCAUCAGCGAUGUUGAUAUGAGCUUGGCGUUCUCCUAUUCAAAUAAGUAAACCAAAUUAUGAGAAACAGAUUGAGCUGUAGCAAGCACACAGUUAAACCACAGAACAUAGGUUUGCAAAGAUAAGCCAUGGAAGUAUUACCUUCAGACUCAAGAAUCUGAGCUCUCUUUCUACGUUCAGCUUCAGCUUGCAUUUCCAUAGCAACCCUCACUCCAUUAGGAGGCAUGAUAUCCCCUGGAUACACAUUUAUUUAUAAGAAGGGCAUCCAGGUAAAAGACCAUCAAAAGAGUCAAACAGAAAAAUUACUCACGUAUCUCAUAACGAAGGCACUCAAGACCCCAAUCUUUUGCAGCAACGUUAAUGGCUUCCUGCAACAAUAAUCCCGUCUCAAAAUCAUCAUAUCAUAUGCUUGUGGUAUCCAAUACAUAAACUAGUAACGCAUAAUACAUUCCCCAACGCUAUACUAUUAUACUCUUAGCUUGCAACGUAAACUCAAAACUCACAGCCAGUAAUGACGGAAAAGUGAACAAAACAGCUUAAACAAUAUCAACUGCAAUCUUAGGUACUAUAAAUGCAUAAUGACGAAACUCUAAUCUAACACAAACUAAACUUACACGCAGGCCCGUCUCAAACAUAAAAUAGGUCAUGUACUACACAAAUUUUUUGAAGUCCAUUUCUUCGUACAAAUAUAUAUAUUUUUUUAAAUGAGUUCUAAGCUAAGCUGAAAAAGUCAAAAAAUGAAAUGGGCCUGUGAAAACACACCUCCAGCACUGGGCCAGGGCUGGGCCUGCUUACACGCAGUGCCUGCCUCAGCCUCAACAGGCUUGGCUACCUCAGCUUCAGCUGGUUCAGCUGGUUCAGCUUCCUUGUGUGUCUCUGCUCCAUCUACAGUAGACUCUUCCGUCUUCUCUGCAACAACUUCAUCUGCCUUCUCCUGUAAGCCCCAAUAAAAUAACAAAAAGAAUUACACAUCUUUCACCCCAAAACAUUAGCUAUUUAUUUAGCUCAGAAACAAAAUGAUAGAAAACAAAAAUAAUUCUAUUGAUCCACAAAACCUGAGACACUGCUUCGGAUUCGACGUUCUUGGACUCGACAACAACAUUCUCAGUGGUGGCAGAGGUUUCAAGGAUAUCAGACUCCUUAGGUUUGCUCGCACAGCCUCCCAUGGUGUUUAAAAAGAAAGAAUCGGUUUGAAACGAAUACAAAUUAAAGUGGGAAGAACUGUGGAGCCAACAAAUGAACUCCUUUUCUGUUCCUUUUCUUAAAAAGCCAAAACUAUUUAUUUUCUUAUUAG